ensembl:snRNA U6 U6 spliceosomal RNA
GUGCUCGCAUCGACAGCACCUAUACUAAAAUUAGAACGAUACAGAGAAUAUUAGCAUGGUCCCUGCGUAAGGAUGGCACGGAAAUUUGUGAAGCGUUCCAUAAUUUU